rnacentral:rRNA from 1 species
CAGCGCCACGAGUGGUAACCGCGAUUAUUGGGCCUAAAGCGUCCGUAGCAGGUUUGACAAAUCUUUUGUGAAAUUGUUCGGCUUAACCGUACAACGUGCAAGAGACACUAUCAAACUCGAGAUCGGGAGGAGUCAGAAGUAUUCCAGGGGGAGCGGUAAAAUGUUAUAAUCCCUGGAGGACUACCUAUGGCGAAGGCAUCUGACCAGAACGAAUCUGACUGUGAGGGACGAAAGCCAGGGGAGCGAACCGGAUUAGAUACCCGAGUAGUCC